CCUACGGGGGGCAGCAGUGAGGAAUAUUGGUCAAUGGGCGCGAGCCUGAACCAGCCAAGUCGCGUGAGGGAAGACGGCCCUACGGGUUGUAAACCUCUUUUGCCGGGGAGCAACGGGCGCCACGUGUGGCGCCACUGAGAGGACCCGGAGAAAAAGCAGCGGCUAACUCCGGGCCAGCAGCCGCGGUAAUACGGAGGAUGCGAGCGUUAGCCGGAUUUAUUGGGUUGAAAGGGUGCGUAGGCGGAGCGUUAAGUCAGUGGUCAACUUGAGGGGCUCAACCCCUUCCCGCCAUUGAAACUGGCGCUCUUGAGUGGACGAGAAGUAUGCGGAAUGCGUGGUGUAGCGGUG
rnacentral:rRNA from 1 species